UUGUUUUAUUAGGCUAUUAGCUAACCUCGAUGUCACAUAUAUAGUGCAAUUAAUGCACACACACAGUGGAUUUGCAUGAACCGCUCUAUAUACAGCUCUUUUAUGAUAAUCUCUAAAAUAUUGCCAUUCGAUCUCAUGGUCUUUCUGUCUUAACUCACAAGAUUUUACUUUAUUUUGUCAAAGAAAAGAUUAGGAAUUUGAAUUGGAGGAGGAGAAAUUAAAGUACAUUGCUAUUGUGAGGCAUCUAAAACUUAUGUUGAAACAGUUGACAUCCAUUCAUAGUGGCAUGUUUUGGAUUAGACAAGAGAAAAAGAGCAAAACCUUGUCGGCCAAAAAAUGUGUCUUCGGUGUUAGGAGCUAUAUAUAUAUAUAAAAAAAAAAAAAAAUUGUUAUCUAGGGUUUGGUCGACAUUGGGUCCCUCAAGUCUUUGAAGCAAGAAUAUAGCCAAUGCAAGGAGUUCCCUAGUGGAGUAUUUAGGAGUCAUGUCAUGUAAAAGAAGAAGACAAAAAAUAAGGA
rnacentral:lncRNA from 1 species